rnacentral:rRNA from 1 species
GAUGAACGCUGGCGGCGUGCCUAAUACAUGCAAGUCGAGCGAACAGACGAGGAGCUUGCUCCUCUGACGUUAGCGGCGGACGGGUGAGUAACACGUGGAUAACCUACCUAUAAGACUGGGAUAACUUCGGGAAACCGGAGCUAAUACCGUAUAACAUGUUGAACCGCAUGGUUCAACAGUGAAAGACGGUUUUGCUGUCACUUAUAGAUGGAUCCGCGUCGCAUUAGCUAGUUGGUAAGGUAACGGCUUACCAAGGCAACGAUGCGUAGCCGACCUGAGAGGGUGAUCGGCCACACUGGAACUGAGACACGGUCCAGACUCCUACGGGAGGCAGCAGUAGGGAAUCUUCCGCAAUGGGCGAAAGCCUGACGGAGCAACGCCGCGUGAGUGAAGAAGGUCUUCGGAUCGUAAAACUCUGUUAUUAGGGAAGAACAAAUGUGUAAGUAACUAUGCACGUCUUGACGGUACCUAAUCAGAAAGCCACGGCUAACUACGUG